rnacentral:rRNA from 1 species
UCAGGCCUAACACAUGCAAGUCGAACGGGAUCUUCGGAUCUAGUGGCGGACGGGUGAGUAACGCGUGGGAACGUGCCCUUUGGUUCGGAAUAGCCCCUGGAAACGGGGAGUAAUACCGGAUGAGCCCUACGGGGGAAAGAUUUAUCGCCGAAGGAUCGGCCCGCGUUGGAUUAGGUAGUUGGUGGGGUAAUGGCCUACCAAGCCGACGAUCCAUAGCUGGUUUGAGAGGAUGAUCAGCCACACUGGGACUGAGACACGGCCCAGACUCCUACGGGAGGCAGCAGUGGGGAAUCUUAGAGAAUGGGGGAAACCCUGAUCUAGCCAUGCCGCGUGAUAAAGGAAGGCCUUAGGGUUGUAAAGCU